AAUGAUAGAGGUUGCGUGCUUUAUAAGUACCUUAUCGGAUGUGACAGGACAGAAGAAGAUAAGGGGAAGGGAAGAACGCCGAAAGAAGUUUUCCGCCUGCCGGAUGAUUUCUUGGGCAUGAGUUUAAGAGGCUUAUGACUGUCAUCUGUAACAGAUGGGGCGCUAUCUU
rnacentral:ncRNA from 1 species